rnacentral:rRNA from 1 species
CAGUCGUGAGGAAGGCGGCGUCGUUAAUAGCGGCGUUGUUUGACGUUAGCGACAGAAGAAAGCACCGGCUAACUCCGUGCCAGCAGCCGCGGUAAUACGGAGGGUGCGAGCGUUAAUCGGAAUUACUGGGCGUAAAGCGCAUGCAGGUGGUUUGUUAAGUCAGAUGUGAAAGACCCGGGGCGUCAACCUCGGAAUUGCAUUUGUAAACUAGGCAGACUAGAGUACUGUAGAGGGGGGUAGGAAUUUCAGGUGUAGCGGUGAAAUAGCGUAGAGAUCUGAAGGAAUACCGGUGGCGAAGGCGGCCCCUCGGACAGAUACUGACACUCAGAUGCGAAAGCGUGGGGAGCAAACAGGAUUAGAUACCCUGGUAG